AUGCUCUUCACUCUUGUCUCUCCCAACCACUGCUGCUUCACUUUUCUCCCCCCCACACCACUGCUGCUUCACGCUUUGUCUCUCCCACACCAACUGCUGCUCACUCUUUGUCUUCCCCACACCAACUGCUGCUUCACUCUUUGUCUCUCCCCACACCAAACUGCUGCUUCACGCUUUGUCUCUCCCCACACCAACUGCUGCUUCACGCUUUGUCUCUCCCCACACCAACUGCUGCUUCACUCUUUGUCUCUCCCCACACCAACUGCUGCUUCACGCUUUGUCUCUCCCCACACCAACUGCUGCUUCACUCUUUCUCUCCCCACACCAACUGCUGCUCUCUCAGGGUCUCGGUGUGAGAGGUGUCCUCUGAACUACUGUGGCAGGAAAUCAUAUGAAUUUAAUGUCUGAUGUUAGGUUUUAUGUGGUCUUGUUUAUUCCUUUGUAACUAGGUUUUGAAAUUUUAUUGUAAUGUAAAUGAAGUGUUUUGUAAAUUCACAAGGAUUUGCUUUAUUACAUAUUGAUUGUAUCAUUUUGGUUUUAUUACAGGUAUGGAUGAUGCUACAGUGUAGGUGCAAACCUUCAGUUUGAUUACCAUUUAUUGCACAAAUAAUAAGCAAUGCUUGUGGGGAUUUCUUGUGUACUUUUUUGAUUGACUUGCAAUGCACUUUCAAGCAAUUACUUAAACUUUUGACAAGAGAUUUAUUUUAUUCUUCAUAACAUCAUUAUGGUUCUUGAGCAUUAUGGGAAAAUAUUUGUUGAAAAUAGCUCCUCCUGAAAAAUAAGGAUCAUGAAUGUUUGCAUUACAAUUUCUGCAACACAUUUAAUGACAAAAACACUAUUGCACUAUUGUACUAUGUCUAUUAAAUAAUACUGUUAAAUGUGUACAGAUGUAUUUUCAUUUCACUCGUGAGUUUGGCAUUAAGCGUUAGACAACCCUAAGCAUUAGAGGGAGAGUUUGAAAGAUGAGGGGAUGUCAAACCCAAACCCCC
rnacentral:lncRNA from 1 species